rnacentral:rRNA from 1 species
GAAGGGGGGGCUCCUUUUGGACCUUCCGCUUAUAUAUUGGUCCGUGUCCCAUUAGCUAGUUGGUGGGGUAAAGCGCCUACCAAGGCGACGAUGGGUAGCCGGCCUGAGAGGGUGUCCGGCCACACUGGGAUUGAGAUACGGCCCAGACUCCUUCGGGAGGCAGCAGUCGAGAAUCUUCCACAAUGUACGAAAAGUAUGAUGGAGCGACGCCGCGUGUGUGAUGAAGGCUCAACGAGUUGUAAAGCACUGUCAGGGGGGAAGAAUCAGCGCAUAACUAAUAAAUAUGCGCUCUGACGUACCCCCAGAGGAAGCUCCGGCUAACUCCGUGCCAGCAGCCGCGGUAAUACGGAGGGAGCAAGCGUUGUCCGGAAUUAUUGGGCGUAAAGGGCACGCAGGCGGUUCGGUAAGUCGAAUGUGAAAUCUUACAGCUUAACUGUAAAACUGCGUUCGAAACUUACCGAACUUGAGUACUGGAGAGGUAUGCGGAAUUCCUGGUGGAACGGUGGAAUGCGUGGAUAUCAGGAAGAACACCGGUGGCGAAGGCGGCAUACUGGCCAAGUACUGACGCUCAGGUGCGAAAGCGUGGGGAGCAAACGGGAUUAGAUACCCCGGUAGUCCACGCUGUAAACGAUGGGUACUAGGUUUUGGAGGUCUCAACCCCUUCAGAGCCGCAGCUAACGCAUUAAGUACCCCGUCUGGGGAAUACGGUCGCAAGGCUGAAACUCAAAGGAAUUGACGGGGGCCCGCACAAGCGGUGGAGCAUGUGUUUUAAUUCGAAGCAACGCGAAGAACCUUACCAGGGUAUGACAUGUGAGCUUCGACCUUCGGGAAGAGGUUAAUCCUGUGAAAGCAGGACGAAUCACACAGGUGUUGUAUGGCUGUCGUCAGCUCGUGUCGUGAGAUGUUGGGUUAAGUCCCGCAACGAGCGCAACCCUUGCUGUUAGUUACCAUCGGGUAAUGCCGGGGACUCUAGCAGGACUGCCGGUGAUAAACCGGAGGAAGGUGGGGAUGAUGUCAAGUCAUUAUGACCCUUUACACCCUGGGCUAACCACGUGCUACAAUGGUCGGUACAAAGGGGAGCGAUACCGCGAGGUGGAGCAAAUCCCAAAAAGCCGGCCUCAGUACGGAUUGCAGUCUGCAACUCGACUGCAUGAAGCUGGAAUCGCUAGUAAUCGUGGAUCAGCAUGCCACGGUGAAUACGUUCCCGGGCCUUGUACACACCG